GUGGGGAAUAUUGGACAAUGGGCGAAAGCCUGAUCCAGCCAUGCCGCGUGCAGGAUGAAGGCCUUCGGGUUGUAAACUGCUUUUGUACGGAACGAAAAGACUCCUUCUAAUAAAGGGGGUCCAUGACGGUACCGUAAGAAUAAGCAUCGGCUAACUACGUGCCAGCAGCCGCGGUAAUACGUAGGGUGCAAGCGUUAAUCGGAAUUACUGGGCGUAAAGCGUGCGCAGGCGGUUAUAUAAGACAGAUGUGAAAUCCCCGGGCUCAACCUGGGAACUGCAUUUGUGACUGUAUAGCUAGAGUACGGUAGAGGGGGAUGGAAUUCCGCGUGUAGCAGUGAAAUGCGUAGAUAUGCGGAGGAACACCGAUGGCGAAGGCAAUCCCCUGGACCUGUACUGACGCUCAUGCACGAAAGCGUGGGGAGCAAACAGGAUUAGAUACCCGGGUAGUCC
rnacentral:rRNA from 1 species